rnacentral:rRNA from 1 species
GACGAACGCUGGCGGCGUGCCUAAUACAUGCAAGUAGAACGCUGAAGGAGGAGCUUGCUUCUCUGGAUGAGUUGCGAACGGGUGAGUAACGCGUAGGUAACCUGCCUGGUAGCGGGGGAUAACUAUUGGAAACGAUAGCUAAUACCGCAUAAGAGUAGAUGUUGCAUGACAUUUGCUUAAAAGGUGCAAUUGCAUCACUACCAGAUGGACCUGCGUUGUAUUAGCUAGUUGGUGGGGUAACGGCUCACCAAGGGGACGAUACAUAGCCGACCUGGGAGGGUGGUCGGCCAACAUGGGACUGGGGAAAGGCCCAGGACCCUACGGGAGGCAGCAGGAGGGAAUCUUCGGCAAUGGACGGAAGGCUGACCGAGCAACGCCGCGUGAGUGAAGAAGGUUUUCGGAUCGUAAAGAUCUGUUGUAAGAGAAGAACGAGUGUGAGAGUGGAAAGUUCACACUGUGACGGUAUCUUACCAGAAAGGGACGGCUAACUACGUG